rnacentral:tRNA from 1 species
GCCUGGGUGGCUUAGUUGGUUAAGCGUCUGACUUCAGCUCAGGUCAUUAUCUCACGGUUUGUGAGUUUGAUUCCCGUGUCGGGCU